UUGGUUUUCAAUUUCCAAACUCAGUUGGAGUGCCACCGUAAUUAUUCCCUUGCAUCGCCUUAUACGGGUCUUAUAUCUGUGAAUUGGAAGGACAAAGAGAUGCUGGGCAAGAAGAGAGGUGCUCAUUGGUAACAGAUUAAGCGAGGACUAAGCAUGUAUACAAUAAGGGAAGAACAUAUGCUGAGACCAACCAAAAGCAGAGAAAAAAAUCACUUCAUCUAAGCUACCCAAUUAUUAAGGAUCACUUGAUUUCUUUUCAGAUGUCAAAUAAAAUUCCAUCAAAUGUGUAAGCAUUUAUA